AUUCAGUUGACGAGUCGCGAAUAGGACGAAACGCGUGUUAUGGAU
rfam:Schistosoma haematobium scaffold583_26, whole genome shotgun sequence.